rnacentral:rRNA from 1 species
AACGAACGCUGGCGGCAUGCCUAACACAUGCAAGUCGAACGAGAACUCCGGGUCUAGUGGCGCACGGGUGCGUAACGAGUGGGAACUUGCCCUUAGGUUCGGAAUAAUUCACCGAAAGGGGUGUUCAUAACGGUUAAUGUCAUCGGACCUAAGAUUUAUUGCCUUUGGGUGGGCCCGGGUUGGAUUCGCUAGUUGGUAGGGUAAAAGCCUAUCAAGGCGUCGAUGCAUAGCUGGUCUGGGAGGAUGAUCAGCCACACUGGAACUGAGACACGGCCCAGACUGCGACGGAAGGGAGCAGUGGAGUAUAUUAGGCGAUGAGCGAAGGUCUGGUCCAGCAGUGCCGCGUGAGAGAUGAAGGGCUUAGGGUUGUAAAUCUCUCUGACCCGAGAUGAGAGUGACAGUACCGGGAGAAGAAGCUCCGGCUAACUCCGUG